UGCUUUCCGGUGUUGUAACACUCGGUAAGGUCACUGAGAGGCUGUUUACUGGAGCUAACUCAGCUAAUACCGCCUAGAUUUAUAAUAUUAAUAAUAAUUCCUGCCAGUCAGAGGCACAGUUUAACCAGUGGAGGCGGUUUGAAACCGGAAACACCCGUUAAACCGCCAAUCAGAGCCUCCUCAGCUGGAGGAGAAGAAGAAGAGUGGUGCUGCGUUCACUGACCUCCAUCUUCUCCAUCAGGACUCAGUAAAUGUGAGGCUGACGGAGGAUUCUUCUUCCCUUUGACUCUCUGACAGGCAUCAUGUCUUCGUAGCUCCGCCUCCUGCUCUGAUUGGUUCUGGAGACUCGGUCCGAUGUCGCGGCACAGUAAGCUGCAGAAGCAGGUCCUGGUUCUGUAUCGGCAGUUCCUCAGAGCCGGCCGGGACAAACCGGGCUUCAUCCCCCGGAUCCGGGACGAGUUCAGGGAGAACGCCGGGAUCAAGCGGACGGACGUGAUGCACAUCGAGUAUCUGUACCGCCGAGGCCAGAGGCAGCUGGAGCAGCUGAGGGACGCCAACACCAAGCAGCUGGGCUCCUUCUCCAAAGCCCAGGACCAGGACUGACAGCAGCAGACCUCAGAGACUCCAUCCAUGCUGUCCAUGUUCACGUUGUAGGAAUAAAACGCUCUGAAAGCCAGACUGGACUCAUGAAUGAACAAACUCCUCUGAAGAAUCUGCAGCAAAAGUUUAGAGUCUGUAAAAGCUGAUAGAGAAGAGAUUUCUGGGUCAGAGUCGGAAAAAAAUCGCUGAAAUUCCUAAAAGUAAAAAAAAUGUGUUUAAAAUGUCUGAAAAUUCUGAACAAAAUAUUUCAAAAUUAUUAUAAACUAUCAACAAAAGUCAUAAAAAUAUAAAGAAAAUGUUGAACAUAUUUCCCAAAAUUUGAAAAAAAGAAGAAAAUGUCUCAAAAAUGUCUGUACAUAUCAAUGUAAUGUCAACAAUCAGUGAAAUAUCCCAUAAAUGACAAAAACAAGACACAAAAAUGAGACAAAAUGACAAAUACCAGACACAAAAACAACAUAAAGGAGAUAUAAAGUGACAAAAAUUAGACAAAAGACGAGACACAAAACAACAAAAACCUCUCAAAAUGUCUCAAAAAUGUCUGUAAAUAUUAAUAUAAUGUCAACAAUGAGUGAAAUAUCCCAUAAAUGGCAGCAAAAGUUAUGAAAAAAAUUUACAAAAUGUCAAAAAAAUAUGAAUAACUUUCCAGAAAAUUAAGAAAAUGAAUAAAAUAUCAUCAAAGACGCUGACUAAAUGAAAACCUUCACUGAUCAGCUGUUUACUUUCAGUGUUUGAGUUUAUUUUUUACUGAGAUUGAGGCGAUUUUAUAAAGGUUUGAAGUGAAUAUUGUUGUGGAAUUCAGCGAGGUCCAGAGAAGAUGAGGACGGAGACUCAGAGACACUCUGGACAUCAGAUGAUUUAAGGUUCACUGAUGUCAGGAGAAGUGACACCGACAGCAGCAGUUCAUGCCAGCAUCAGGUCUGAGGAUUCUCUCUGAUCUUUGGGUUUAUGUUGCAGUUGGGAGAAGAUCAGGUUUAGAUUCCAGACCAACAUGGAGACAACUGGUCUGUUUCGUCAGAAUAGAGAAGAUCUAACCUCCUACAGCGUCUGUCUGUCUGAAGAUAAAUAAGGAUGACAUCAGCUAAGGACAAGGAAGCACCUUAGAAAGAGGAAAGAGUCAUUUUUCCUUCAUGACUGUUCCGUCCACACAUGGAUCAAUGUUUAAUCUCUUAAACAUCAAUAACUCAGAAAGACUUUUUGUUUCCAGAUUUCCAACUAAUCUUAGAGGAUCCUAAAUAGUGUUUAGAUGAAGAAGGUCGACAGUUAAUCUUUCAGUUUAUCUCAGACUUUUAAAUCAAACUAAUGUUGACAAGUUUUUCACUGCAACGGCAUCGGAUGAACAUUUAAAACUGAAAAACUACUAAUAAUUACAGCUGUAUCUCACAAAUACACAUCUGUAUACAUUCUACACACUAACAGAAAGUACAAGUACCUUCAGUUUGUAAUUAAGUACAGAGUAAACGUUAAUUACAGUCAAGGUUUGCUGACAUUUGUUUUAUAAACGUUUCCUGACGGUUUACUGACAACCUGAUGAAACGUUAAACAGGUGAUUAGGUCAUUUUGUGGUGAUUUUGUGUCUUUUUGUCAUAAUUUUGUGUCUUUUUGUCAUAAUUUUGUGUUUUGUGAUAGUUUUGUGUGUUUUUGUGCUUAAAUAAUCAAAAUUUCGGCCUCCAUCUGACGUCUUCUUCUCCAGAGGCUAAAACUUCGGCAUUCCGGGUUGCCAGGCAACAGGAGGCACUACGGGAAGUGACGACACAUCCAGGAAGUCCUUCAGACUGCGGCGCUGCUGUAAAACCCACGAAGAAGAAGAAAACGUAAACAGGAAGUCACACCCGUUAAAACUGCGUUUGUUCCAUAAAUAUCUGAGCAUUUAGGGAGUUUAGCUGCAGCUGGGAGCCACAGAGGAACUUUAAAGGUUCUGUUUUAAUCAGAACUGAAGGUUUUUAGGGUUUCAGCUUUUUAAAAAAACGUUCUUCGUCCUGUUUUCAGCGAUGUCGAGUUCAGGAGGAGAAAUGAGCAACGGGCAGUUAAUUCAGCAGGUGGCGCUGCUGCGCUGGUUGUCGUCUCAGACUGAGGAGGAUCGCAGGAUGCUGGCAGCAGUGACGGGCGUCCAGGUCGGCAGAGAGCUGCUGAACCGACUCACCGGUCAGGACAAAGUGGAGACGUACAAGAGGGAAUGCAUCCUGAGCAUCGCAGACUUCGUCCAGAAAAACCCUCGAGCUUCACAGAACCAGAUCAACGCCGAGGUGGAGAAGAACGUUGUGGUGUUUGCUGCCAGAGUCCGAGCUCUGGAGUCGACCUCGAUGUUCUGAAUCCUGAAUCCCAUGUUUCUGUUUCCUAUGAAUGAAUGAAACCUGAUGAACGCUUUGGUUUUUAUGAUGAAGUUUCUCUGUGUUCUGUCGUUAAUUCAAUGCUUCCUCAGAGGAAACAUUUAGAUUGGAUUCUAUUAAAGGUGUUUCUACUACAGACCAAA